ACAUCCAGCGAACUUGGCAGAGAUGCCUUGGUGCCUUCGGGAACGCUGAGACAGGUGCUGCAUGGCUGUCGUCAGCUCGUGUUGUGAAAUGUUGGGUUAAGUCCCGCAACGAGCGCAACCCUUAUCCUUUGUUGCCAGCGAUUCGGUCGGGAACUCAAAGGAGACUGCCGGUGAUAAACCGGAGGAAGGUGGGGAUGACGUCAAGUCAUCAUGGCCCUUACGAGUAGGGCUACACACGUGCUACAAUAGCGCAUACAAAAGAGAAGCGACCUCGCGAGAGCAAGCGGACCUCAUAAAGUGCGUCGUAGUCCGGAUCGGAGUCUGCAACUCGACUCCGUGAAGUCGGAAUCGCUAGUAAUCGUGGAUCAGAAUGCCACGGUGAAUACGUUCCCGGGCCUUGUACACACCGCCCGUCACACCAUGGGAGUGGGUUGCAAAAGAAGUAGGUAGCUUAACCUUCGGGAGGGCGCUUACCACUUUGUGAUUCAUGACUGGGGUGAAGUCGUAACAAGGUAAGCGUAGCGAG
rnacentral:rRNA from 1 species